GUCAUCAUAAUUUGAAUCCACUGGAUGGAUCUCGCUAGUAACUUUUACAUUACCGAAGACGAUGUGAGGAGCGACUGCGAUUGGACGCAUGCCUUAGUAAAGUACGGGAACUGAAGCCCGGCGUAACGGUGGAGAUCUUCAAGCAUGAUUUGUCGCAGGAUACUGGAUACCGUUGAAGACCUACUAAAGCACUUCAGCUGUGUGAGCGCCACUGAGACUCCCUUAUCGCUGUGGAUUGCUAUCAAUGAAUCACUACGUGGGAACGGGAGUAAACACAUCCCGUUUAUUAGUGUGGGUGCGUGUGGCAUUUUCGCCGGAGUGUCCUGUGAUUUCGGUGAGGAAUUCAAGGUGUAUGAUCCGCAAACCGAAGAAGGCAGGGACUUGCUCAUUUCUUCGUUUACAUCAACUGAAAAAGCCCAUGUUACGUGUAUGGAAGGUUAUUAUCAUCGGCUUGACACGGGAGAUCUGAUGGAAUUCAAGGAUGUCGAAUGACGGAUCUCAAUGCACCUUUACCGUAGAGAAGAUUGUUUCUCCGUUGAUCUUCUGCAUUGGCGAUACACGACUUUUCUAUCUGCGUGAUCCAUGCCGGCUGUAGCGUGACUACAAGAAUACACAUCACGGACGAUGACCAUAUUGAAAAGAGUUUCAUUUCCGGCUCGAUUAUAGGAAUGUCCACAAGCGCGAUAUGGUAGCUCAGCGUGCAGCAGAUAAUUCCUGGCGUCUGUGUUCACGCAUUGAAACUACGAGUGCAACCGUCCAGCAGUGCAACAGCUCAUUCAGAAAAUUAUCAGGAGGGAUACAUGUGACAUUAUGGGAUAAGUGGAGUAUUGCCGGCAGUCCGCAGUUUGCCAUGCAGAAUUUUGUGGAUGCGGUGAAGAACACGUAUAAUUUGACCGUGAGCAGUAUAUUGAUGGGAGCGAAAAUGGUGUACAUGCCUUUCAUACCGGAGCACCGGAAGCGAUUAGCGCAACCGUUUGACAAAUUCCUCGAUCCUUUGCCCAGUAAUUAAGACUACGUCGAUCUGUCGGUGGAUAUGGAAGCCGAUCCAAUGGGUGAUGCAUCCACGGAUGAUAAAUGGCCCCCUGUGCGCUACUAUUUCCGCUAACUGGAAAGGAUCUGUUAUGCAUUGACAUUUGCAUGCGCUAUUGGUGUUAGAGUAUUGGUGUUUCCUGUUGCAGUCCCCCGUAGACAUGAAGAACUCUGAUCGCCAAUAUGCCGCGGUUGACCCAAAAGGUCAGCGUUGCCCACGAUAUCGUGGCUGGACGCGCAGAGGAAACUACUCCAUGUGGUGCCGCGUCCAUCGGUCAUCUGCUACCGCCGCAUACGGCGAGUACAAAGCAGUCCGCCUGCCAAAGCCUCUGAAUCCGAAGGACCCAUGGUGGUCAUCGCGAAAAAGCUGACCAUUCUUUGCGAGCACCUUGUAUUGCGGAACCGUUUUGAAGAACUCUUUACCCACCCGUCGAUCCGUGAUCUGCCGCAUGCGAUCGCCAAGAAAUUGAUUCAGUUCCAGAUCAAGGACGGACUGACCUUCCUGGAAAAGGCCAUGACCGCAUGGGCGGUCAUGUACCGUAACACCCACUGUACUUAGGUCAUCCACUGCUUUUUCUGUUUUAACUUUACUUCAUUGAUGUGCACACCGAUCUGAACGCACUGUGAUGAUCCCUCUUUUAGUUUGUUAAUUAUAUGAAUUAUGAUAGCGCUUCUAUUCACGUGUGUAUGCAUGCGGUAU